rnacentral:RNase_P_RNA from 1 species
AGGGGCGGGCGCAUGGUCGCUCCGGCCAUGCUGCCGGAGAGGAAAGUCCGAACACCAGAGGGCACGGUGGUUCGUAACGCGAACCGCAGGUAACUGUGGGAAAGUGCCACAGAAAAGACACCGCCGAUGGGGCUGUCGGCCCACAGGCAAGGGUGAAAUGGCGAGGUAAGAGCUCACCGCCUGCAUAGUGAUAUGCAGGGCAGGGUAAACCCCACCGGGUGCAAGACCAAAUAGGGAAGCGCUGGAAGACGGCCCGUCUGAAGCUUCCGGGUAGGUCGCACGAGGUGCCGGGUGACCGGCAUCCCAGUCAAAUGACCAUGGCCCGUGCAAACGGGGACAGAAUUCGGCUUACAGCCCGCCCCUCAUU